UGGAGGGCAAGUCUGGUGCCAGCAGCCGCGGUAAUUCCAGCUCCAAUAGCGUAUAUUAAAAUUGUUGCAGUUAAAAAGCUCGUAGUUGAAUUUCUGCUGCAUUACAUAUCUCUUGUUUGAGUUUGUUUUUGUGGCUUAUUUCGGUUUGAUUUUUUCUUUCCGGAUGAUUACUUUGAGAAAAUUAGAGUGCUCAAAGCAGGCUUUUGCCUUGAAUAGUUUAGCAUGGAAUAAUAAAGUAGGACUUUGGUUCUAUUUUGUUGGUUUUAGGUACCAAAGUAAUGGUUAAUAGGAACAGUUGGGGGCAUUCGUAUUUAACUGUCAGAGGUGAAAUUCUUAGAUUUGUUAAAGACGAACUACUGCGAAAGCAUUUGCCAAGGAUGUUUUCAUUAAUCAAGAACGAAAGUUAGGGGAUCGAAGACGAUCAGAUACCGUCGUAGUCCUAACCAUAAACUA
rnacentral:rRNA from 1 species